rnacentral:lncRNA from 1 species
AAGUCCUACUUACUCACAAACUUGGGAAAAAGAAACUUGAUUUUCAGUGUUUAGGCUGUAACUUAAAGAUAAUUAGUUGUUUAUUCUGAUCAUCAUUGCCAGACUUCAUGAGAUACUUGCAACUUGUUUUAAUAUGCUUUUAGAAAGGUAACAUUCCUGUUUAAGAGUCAAGACCAUGUGCUAUUCUUGUAUGCCUAGGUUGCAUGGAUUUGGGCUCAUAUCUAGAUGGAAGUUGAAUGAAGAAAUGAGAUAUUGUGAAGGUUGAAAUUGAGAAAAGAAAUUAUGUGUUGGAAAUUUGACCUACCAUGAAAACCAAGUGGAAUAAAUUAUAAGACUUCAUCUCCAGCUCUCAUAAUCCCAUAACCACAUGAAUAACUUUCUUUAAAGUAUUGGCUUAAUGUGUAAGAUAAACAUUAUUGAGUUCCAGAACCUAGGGUUCUUCACCCAUUUGUUCAUUCAACAGGUAUUUCUUGAACACCUAGUGUGCACCAGACCUUUCAUUAGAUACAGAGUUAAAAACAAGCUUCCUGAUAAGAAAUCUAAAAUUCAGUAAGGAAAGUAGUAAACAUGCCACCUGUUUAAAUGUAAUCUGAAACUCAAGGCAGCCUUUGAUAUGCAAUAUGCUAGUGGUUCAGACUUGCGCGGUAAGAUGACCAGAGAUGAAUGGAUAACUUUGUAGUAAUGAAGAUAUUUUUGUGUAUGCAGACAUUUCCAUGGAUAUUGAAU